ACGAACGCUGGCGGCGUGCUUAACACAUGCAAGUCGAACGGAAAGGCCCUGCUUUUGUGGGGUGCUCGAGUGGCGAACGGGUGAGUAACACGUGAGUAACCUGCCCUUGACUUUGGGAUAACUUCAGGAAACUGGGGCUAAUACCGGAUAGGAGCUCCUGCUGCAUGGUGGGGGUUGGAAAGUUUCGGCGGUUGGGGAUGGACUCGCGGCUUAUCAGCUUGUUGGUGGGGUAGUGGCUUACCAAGGCUUUGACGGGUAGCCGGCCUGAGAGGGUGACCGGCCACAUUGGGACUGAGAUACGGCCCAGACUCCUACGGGAGGCAGCAGUGGGGAAUAUUGCACAAUGGGCGGAAGCCUGAUGCAGCAACGCCGCGUGCGGGAUGACGGCCUUCGGGUUGUAAACCGCUUUCGCCUGUGACGAAGCGUGAGUGACGGUAAUGGGUAAAGGAGCACCGGCUAACCACGUG
rnacentral:rRNA from 1 species